rnacentral:rRNA from 1 species
UCUGCGGCCCGGGUCCGUCCCGGGGCCACGUCUGGCUGAGGGUCGGUUU